rnacentral:rRNA from 1 species
GUUGUUGCGGUUAAAAGCUCGUAGUUGGAUUUUGGGCGCAGGCGGCCGGUCCGUCGCAAGGCGUGUACUGGCCGUCCUGGCCUCACCUCCGGUUCUCCGCCGGUGCCCUUGACUGAGUGUCGGCGGCGGCCGGAACGUUUACUUUGAAAAAAUUAGAGUGUUCAAAGCAGGCGAUUCGCCUGAAUAAUGGUGCAUGGAAUAAUGGAAUAGGACCUCGGUUCUAUUUUGUUGGUUUUCGGAGCGCGAGGUAAUGAUUAAGAGGGACAGACGGGGGCAUUCGUACUGUGCCGUUAGAGGUGAAAUUCUUGGAUCGGCGCAAGACGAACGACUGCGAAAGCAUUUGCCAAGAAUGUUUUCUUUAAUCAAGAGCGAAAGUCAGAGGUUCGAAGACGAUCAGAUACCGUCCUAGUUCUGACUAUAAACGAUGCCAACUAGCGAUCGGGGGGCGUUAGUUUUACGACCUCUCCGGCAGCUUGCGGGAAACCAAAGUCUUUGGGUUCCGGGGGAAGUAUGGUUGCAAAGCUGAAACUUAAAGGAAUUGACGGAAGGGCACCACCAGGAGUGGAGCCUGCGGCUUAAUUUGACUCAACACGGGAAAUCUCACCCGGCCCGGACACAGUGAGGAUUGACAGAUUGAGAGCUCUUUCUUGAUUCUGUGGGUGGUGGUGCAUGGCCGUUCUUAGUUGGUGGAGCGAUUUGUCUGGUUAAUUCCGAUAACGAACGAGACUCUGGCUUGCUAACUAGUUACGCGACCCAAUCGGUCGGCGUCUAACUUCUUAGAGGGACUAGUGGCGUUUAGCCACACGAGAUUGAGCAAUAACAGGUCUGUGAUGCCCUUAGAUGUUCGGGGCCGCACGCGCGCUACACUGACCGGAUCAGCAUGUGCUCGCCUUGGCCGACAGGUCUGGGUAACCCGCUGAACCCCGGUCGUGCUAGGGAUAGGGAAUUGCAAUUAUUUCCCUUGAACGAGGAAUUCCCAGUAAGCGCGAGUCAUUAGCUCG